UUUCUUGUGGAGUUUCCCUUACUAGCCUGGAUUUUCAGAGUUUGCAGGAUUCUAGAACCAUUACCACAAAAUGAAAAGAGCUAGAUUGUGCCUUUAAGAUUUGGAACCAUUUGGAGCAUCAGUAUGCUACCUGUCCUGAGCAGAAGUUCAAAAUGUGAUUCUCCAAAGUGAGAGAAGAUACUGCCCUUCCAUCAACUAAGAGUUCUCUAAGAGUUUACCUGAC